GCGGGUAUGGCGAAAUUGGUAUACGCAGUAGAUUUAGGUUCUGCCUCCUUAGGAUUACAGGUUCGAGUCCUGCUACCCGCACCA
rnacentral:tRNA from 1 species